CUCCUAAGCUCUGUCCUCUCUUUACUCCAGGAUCCAUCUGUCCUCCCUCUACCUGGCUGUUCCUGUGACUAUACUUGAUGCUCAUGUUCUGGUCAUUAAGUACCUACUGAGAAAUAACAACCUGUCCUUGUCAAGCUUUGCACCUUACAACAAGCAAUACCGUAGCAAAUGGAAUAUAACUUCCAGCAGGGGAGAAGCAUAUCUAUGCCUGAGUCUGUAAAGAAUGAGCUACUGUGAUAACAUUAAGAAUGAGUUACUGUGAUAACAUUAAGUCAAACUUGGAAAAUUUGAGCAGAGGAGAGUGUCUACAUCCUCCAAAUUUUAGAUAUUUUCUAGCUAUGGUUGGCUGAAUCCAGAGAUGCAGAACCUGGAUGAAGAGCACUUCUCUACACAUAUGUUUUGGCAAGAGUUUGCAAAUUGGAAAAAGGGAGAAGACAGCUCCUGGAUGCAGCUAUAGAGAAGCUGGCUGGAAAAUAGGACAAUGUGAAUAUUAUUCAACUUUUGGAG